GACGAACGCUGGCGGCGCGCCUAAUACAUGCAAGUCGAACGGACUGGCUUCGGCCAGUCAGUGGCGGACGGGUGAGUAACACGUGGGUGACCUGCCCUCAAGUGGGGAAUAACGCUGCGAAAGCAGCGCUAAUACCGCAUACCCUUCGGCCGUCAGGGGCUGAAGGAAAGCUUUGGCGCUUGAGGAGGGGCCUGCGGCCGAUUAGCUAGGUCGGGGA
rnacentral:rRNA from 1 species